UACGAGAGGCCCAAACGUUUAUUCGGAUUUACUGGGCUUAAAGAGUUCGUAGGCGGCGCGGAAAGUAGGGUGUGAAAGCCCUCGGCUUAACCGAGGAAUUGCGCUCUAAACUACCGUGCUUGAGGAACCUAGAGGUGAGCAGAACUGAUGGUGGAGCGGUGAAAUGCGUUGAUAUCAUCAGGAAUACCGGAGGCGAAGGCGGCUCACUGGGGGUUAUCUGACGCUGAGGAACGAAAGCCAGGGGAGCAAACGGG
rnacentral:rRNA from 1 species